GUGGAUUAGAUACCCUGGUAGUCCACGCCCUAAACGAUGUCUACUAGUUGUCGGGUCUUAAUUGACUUGGUAACGCAGCUAACGCGUGAAGUAGACCGCCUGGGGAGUACGGUCGCAAGAUUAAAACUCAAAGGAAUUGACGGGGACCCGCACAAGCGGUGGAUGAUGUGGAUUAAUUCGAUGCAACGCGAAAAACCUUACCUACCCUUGACAUGGAUGGAAUCCUUGAGAGAUUGAGGAGUGCCCGAAAGGGAACCAUUACACAGGUGCUGCACGGCCGUCGUCAACU
rnacentral:rRNA from 1 species